GGGUCGGUAGCUCAGUCGGUAGAGCAUCGGACUGAAAAUCCGAGUGUCGGCAGUUCAAUUCUGCCCUGACCCACCA
rnacentral:tRNA from 16 species